rnacentral:rRNA from 1 species
GAUGAACGCUGGCGGCGUGCCUAAUACAUGCAAGUCGAGCGAACAGAUGAGGAGCUUGCUCCUCUGACGUUAGCGGCGGACGGGUGAGUAACACGUGGAUAACCUACCUAUAAGACUGGGAUAACUUCGGGAAACCGGAGCUAAUACCGGAUAAUAUAUUGAACCGCAUGGUUCAAUAGUGAAAGACGGUUUUGCUGUCACUUAUAGAUGGAUCCGCGCCGCAUUAGCUAGUUGGUAAGGUAACGGCUUACCAAGGCAACGAUGCGUAGCCGACCUGAGAGGGUGAUCGGCCACACUGGAACUGAGACACGGUCCAGACUCCUACGGGAGGCAGCAGUAGGGAAUCUUCCGCAAUGGGCGAAAGCCUGACGGAGCAACGCCGCGGGAGUGAUGAAGUUCUUCGGAUCGUAAAACUCUGUUAUUAGGGAAGAACAAAUGUGUAAGUAACUAUGCACGUCUUGACGGUACCUAAUCAGAAAGCCACGGCUAACUACGUG